UAUUAAUCUGUUCUAUCCCAUUUAGGUGACAGAAUGAAGAUGUGGAGAAACAGAGUCACAGUCCUACCCCAUGGCAGAGCUGGGGCAGAGGCUGACUCUCAGUGGUCCCCGCUCCUCUCCCCACUCUGGCCACUCAUCCAUCAGCCACAGCAAGCCCUACUCUGCUUCUCCGUGCACUCGGCAGCCCCUGGCAGCGUGAGUACUCACACGUUGCUGUCCAGCCCCCCAGGGGCACCGGAGCUCCUUGAGGACAGGUGUCCCCCAGGGCGGGGACUCAGCACCUGCUCAGACCUCCCUGGGGCUGAAAUUCACC
rnacentral:lncRNA from 1 species